rnacentral:lncRNA from 1 species
CUCAGCUCUAACCGUGCCUUGACUGAUCAGGACUCUUCAGUUCACCUUCUCACAAUGAGGCUCCCUGCUCAGCUUCUGGGGCUGCUAAUGCUCUGGGUCUCUGGAUCCAGUGGGGAUAUUGUGAUGACUCAGUCUCCACUCUCCCUGCCCGUCACCCCUGGAGAGCCGGCCUCCAUCUCCUGCAGGUCUAGUCAGAGCCUCCUGCAUAGUAAUAGAUACAACUAUUUGGAUUGGUACCUGCAGAAGCCAGGGCAGUCUCCACAGCUCCUGAUCUAUUUGGGUUCUAAUCGGGCCUCUGGGGUCCCUGACAGGUUCAGUGGCAGUGGAUCAGGCACAGAUUUUACACUGAAAAUCAGCAGAGUGGAGGCUGAGGAUGUUGGGGUUUAUUACUGCAUGCAAGCUCUGCAAACUCC